ACCUGCGUGUGGAAUGUGGGAUCCCUGGUGAAUUCCAGAGAUCAGAGGGGCCCUGAGCAGGGCAGGAAGUUGUUCUGAGGACACCUCCACCCAGUUCAGGCAGGAGGGCCCAGGGCCAGGGCUGAGGCUGAGGAACAAGCAGAUCCCUCUGUCUCCGUGUGGGGUGCCGUCACUAGGUGCAGCCUCAGCACCGCCAGUCUGGUGACGACCUGCCGCAGUGUUUUGUCCUCUGAGUGAAUUUUCUCCUGGUGGCAGUCCAAGCACAGCUUUCCAGGGACCCCUUACAGUUGAGGAUCCAGGGCAGCGACCAGAGGAGUUUCCUGCAGCAGCCCAGGAGACAUACAUCCCUUCAGACUCUGGGAGGACACAUCCACCUUUAAGAAAUGGG